AGUUGAAGCAGUAGUGGAACAACAUCCAUCGUCAAUUGAAGCUCUUGGUGGAGGAAUUGGCGGAGGAGUAGUAGCUCUUGCUGUCAUUGUGGUUGUUGGACUUUGUUUGCUUCGGAGAAGAAGAAGAAAACUAUCCAAAAAAGAAACCGAGAACCUUUCCGCCCUGUACGCAACAGUGAAAAAAGGAAGAGCUGCGCGAGCAGGGAACGCUAAUGCGGAUACUGACAAUUUUCACUCUGUCAUCAUCAUAGAAAACCCCGAUUACGAAAGUCUACUUACGGGUAGUUCUGAUAGGAAAAAUACACCUUAUUUGACAGAAGACAAUCUUGAACUUGACGAAGAUGAUAUUUUCGCAAAUGAAACUGCAAAACUAUUUGUUGAAAGAUGUGGUGUUUAUUAUAACAACGCUAGAGAAGUUAGCAAACUGAAUGUUUCCGAUCUUCCAGAACAUGUACAAAAUAUUUCU